UAUCCAUAUAAAACAUUUAAUAAAAAUUUUAAUAAAAUUUUUAAGUGUCUAAUAUUCCUCAGCAUCAAAACCCUAACAACCUU
rnacentral:sRNA from 1 species